rnacentral:rRNA from 1 species
AUACAUGCAAGUCGAGCGAACGGACGAGAAGCUUGCUUCUCUGAUGUUAGCGGCGGACGGGUGAGUAACACGUGGAUAACCUACCUAUAAGACUGGGAUAACUUCGGGAAACCGGAGCUAAUACCGGAUAAUAUUUUGAACCGCAUGGUUCAAAAGUGAAAGACGGUCUUGCUGUCACUUAUAGAUGGAUCCGCGCUGCAUUAGCUAGUUGGUAAGGUAACGGCUUACCAAGGCAACGAUGCAUAGCCGACCUGAGAGGGUGAUCGGCCACACUGGAACUGAGACACGGUCCAGACUCCUACGGGAGGCAGCAGUAGGGAAUCUUCCGCAAUGGGCGAAAGCCUGACGGAGCAACGCCGCGUGAGUGAUGAAGGUCUUCGGAUCGUAAAACUCUGUUAUUAGGGAAGAACAUAUGUGUAAGUAACUGUGCACAUCUUGACGGUACCUAAUCAGAAAGCCACGGCUAACUACGUGCCAGCAGCCGCGGUAAUACGUAGGUGGCAAGCGUUAUCCGGAAUUAUUGGGCGUAAAGCGCGCGUAGGCGGUUUUUUAAGUCUGAUGUGAAAGCCCACGGCUCAACCGUGGAGGGUCAUUGGAAACUGGAAAACUUGAGUGCAGAAGAGGAAAGUGGAAUUCCAUGUGUAGCGGUGAAAUGCGCAGAGAUAUGGAGGAACACCAGUGGCGAAGGCGACUUUCUGGUCUGUAACUGACGCUGAUGUGCGAAAGCGUGGGGAUCAAACAGGAUUAGAUACCCUGGUAGUCCACGCCGUAAACGAUGAGUGCUAAGUGUUAGGGGGUUUCCGCCCCUUAGUGCUGCAGCUAACGCAUUAAGCACUCCGCCUGGGGAGUACGACCGCAAGGUUGAAACUCAAAGGAAUUGACGGGGACCCGCACAAGCGGUGGAGCAUGUGGUUUAAUUCGAAGCAACGCGAAGAACCUUACCAAAUCUUGACAUCCUUUGACAACUCUAGAGAUAGAGCCUUCCCCUUCGGGGGACAAAGUGACAGGUGGUGCAUGGUUGUCGUCAGCUCGUGUCGUGAGAUGUUGGGUUAAGUCCCGCAACGAGCGCAACCCUUAAGCUUAGUUGCCAUCAUUAAGUUGGGCACUCUAAGUUGACUGCCGGUGACAAACCGGAGGAAGGUGGGGAUGACGUCAAAUCAUCAUGCCCCUUAUGAUUUGGGCUACACACGUGCUACAAUGGACAAUACAAAGGGCAGCGAAACCGCGAGGUCAAGCAAAUCCCAUAAAGUUGUUCUCAGUUCGGAUUGUAGUCUGCAACUCGACUACAUGAAGCUGGAAUCGCUAGUAAUCGUAGAUCAGCAUGCUACGGUGAAUACGUUCCCGGGUCUUGUACACACCGCCCGUCACACCACGAGAGUUUGUAACACCCGAAGCCGGUGGAGUAACCUUUUAGGAGCUAGCCGUCGAAG